rnacentral:lncRNA from 1 species
UGAAAUGCGCUUACAGUACCUACACAUAUCUCAAAUAACCCAAAAAUCAGACCCAGGGCCUACUCGGCCAAUUUAGAAUUUUGGCACGGCAGCUCCGCCGUGCUCUAGCAACGGCGCCGCCGCUCGCGGCUGCGAUCCACCUUGGGUUGGCUGUUUUCAGCCAUUUUCGACCGAAUUCAGCCAAACUUGCAUCGGUUCCUGUGAGAAAACACACAUAGGGCCCUCGGUGGGCCGAAAAAAUGUAAAAAACUGAAACUCACCGGCGGUGGGGCUCUCUAGUGUGGUGGCUCCUCCGGCUCACGUUGCGGUUGGGUGUUUUACUCUGGUUAACCUGUAGAGGAGGAAACGGUGAUCACAACGGUAGAAAAAUCACAUCGAAUAGGAAUCGAGAAGGGCCUCAUCAGAGACGAAAAUCGAAACACCCUGCAGCGGCGCUGCUGAGCUUCGACAGCAUUUUCCUGCCAAUUGGCUAGUGCUUUCACUUCGAUUUGGCCAUAGGUAGGUUUAUAAUCAAAUUCUGAGCAAAGGGUAGAAUUUUUACCUCGUUUGGCGGUUGGAAAUUGCUCCGGUACAGCGGCGAGUGGCGGCAGUCGGCUCCCCGACGGCUGGGCUGUCUUCUCCGGUGAGGGGCUAUGGCGGCUAGGGUUAGGGUUUGGGUGCGGAUGAGGUUAUUUAUACCCAUCCGCUUUUCAUCUGAGCCGUCCAUCGCUUUUAAUUUGGACCGUCCAAUCGCAAUUAAAUAGGGAGUGAAUCUGGGCUGUUCAUCGCGAUUCAAUCUUGAUUGUCCAUGCGUGAUUCAAUCUAGGCCGUCCGUGCGCGAUGUAAUCUGGGCCAUCCA